UACGUAGGUUGCAAGCGUUAAUCGGAAUUACUGGGCGUAAAGCGUGCGCAGGCGGUUGUGCAAGACAGGUGUGAAAUCCUCGGGCUUAACCUGGGAACUGCACUUGUGACUGCACAGCUAGAGUACGGCAGAGGGGGAUGGAAUUCCGCGUGUAGCAGUGAAAUGCGUAGAUAUGCGGAGGAACACCGAUGGCGAAGGCAAUCCCCUGGGCCUGUACUGACGCUCAUGCACGAAAGCGUGGGGAGCAAACAGG
rnacentral:rRNA from 1 species